rnacentral:rRNA from 1 species
UACGUAGGGGGCAAGCGUUGUCCGGAUUUAUUGGGCGUAAAGCGCACGUAGGCGGAUUUUUAAGUCAGGGGUGAAAUCCUGGAGCUCAACUCCAGAACUGCCUUUGAUACUGGGAAUCUCGAGUCCGGGAGAGGUGAGUGGAACUCCGAGUGUAGAGGUGAAAUUCGUAGAUAUUCGGAAGAACACCAGUGGCGAAGGCGGCUCACUGGCCCGGUACUGACGCUGAGGUGCGAAAGCGUGGGGAGCAAACAGG